UACGGAGGGUGCAAGCGUUAUCCGGAUUUACUGGGCUUAAAGGGUGCGUAGGCGGGUAGGUAAGUCAGUGGUGAAAUCUCCGAGCUUAACUCGGAAACUGCCUUUGAUACUAUUUAUCUUGAAUAUUGUGGAGGUAAGCGGAAUAUGUCAUGUAGCGGUGAAAUGCUUAGAUAUGACAUAGAACACCUAUUGCGAAGGCAGCUUACUACGCAUAUAUUGACGCUGAGGCACGAAAGCGUGGGGAUCAAACAGG
rnacentral:rRNA from 1 species